AGAGCCUUAGGUUAAAAAGACCAAGGGCCUUCAAAGCCCUAAGUGGGAGUUAGACCCCCCCAAGCUCUG
rnacentral:tRNA from 1 species